CAGCAGCCGCGGUAACACCGGCGGCCCGAGUGGUGAUCGUGAUUAUUGGGUCUAAAGGGUCCGUAGCCGGUUUGGUCAGUCCUCCGGGAAAUCUGAUAGCUCAACGUAUUAGGCUUUCGGGGGAUACUGCCAGACUUGGAACCGGGAGAGGUAAGAGGUACUACAGGGGUAGGAGUGAAAUCUUGUAAUCCCUGUGGGACCACCUGUGGCGAAGGCGUCUUACCAGAACGGGUUCGACGGUGAGGGACGAAAGCUGGGGGCACGAACCGGAUUAGAUACCCGGGUAGUCCCAGCCGUAAACGAUGCUCGCUAGGUGUCAGGCAUGGCGCGACCGUGUCUGGUGCCGCAGGGAAGCCGUGAAGCGAGCCACCUGGGAAGUACGGCCGCAAGGCUGAAACUUAAAGGAAUUGGCGGGGGAGCACAACAACGGGGUUGGAGCCUGCGGUUUAAUUGGACUCAACGCCGGACAACUCACCGGGGGCGACAGCAAUAUGUAGGCCAAGCUGAAGACUUUGCCUGAAUCGCUGAGGAGUGGUGCAUGG
rnacentral:rRNA from 1 species